AAAUCCAUAAGUUAAAAAAACUCUUAAAUUUUUAAUUUAAUCAUGAUCAAAAGAUCUGGAUUUA
rnacentral:tRNA from 1 species